AGCUGCUGUAGUACCUGCACCUGGUGAGGUUGGUGGUGCGCUACUACAUGCCUCUACAACAAGACACGGUGGCAUGCUAAAUGGAGCUUUGAGCAGCAGCACAUCGUGGGGAGAGGACGGAUGUGGUGGUCUGGGAGCCUCGGGCUCCACUACAUCUGCCGCUAGAAGCAGCAACAGAACGCGUUGUUCGACUGUGCCAGCCUUGGCGGUGAUCUCGACGAUUGCAUGGAGUGGAAGACUUUGCAGUGUAGCAAGGUUGCUCAGGAGCUGCUGAAGGGAAACAACCCUGGAUGUCACAGGCUGAAGGAGGAGGUCUUACACAUCUUCUUGGUUCAGGACUUGAGAAAUAAGGUGAAGAAAAAGGAAAAAGACCUGCUAAUCUUUCCCUUCACCGUUGGAUGUCGGUCGAAUGGUUGAUGGCAGGGGGAACUCACUCGACGUAUCGAAGCUACUGUAUGGACUAAGAGAUGUUUAGAGAUAGGCAUUUUGUUGUUAAUUUUUCCUUGUCUGUAGGGUGUGGGCCGAAUGGUCUUGUUCCUGGGAGUUUGUAAAAUUUGGAUUGAAUGGCGAUAUUGGUAUAGUCUCAGUGAGUGCUACAUAUGUACCACCAUUGUAAAAUUUGAUUUGAAUUGUAUCGUGCAGCAAGGAGUUAGUGGUUAGUAAACAGAUUGGAUUUAUUGGCUGUCAUUUUGGCUCAUGUGUCCUUGUACCUUUCUAGCAUGUUGUGAUGCCAA